GAUAAAAAAAAAUAAGAGCUAUGCUUUUAUUAAAGUUUCACUUGAAGAUACAAUUACAUGGAAAUAUGGAGAUGCUAAUAGUACAUGCUUACAUGUAUGAAAGGAACAAUACAAAUCUUGGAAUUUGCUAAAGUAAUAUAGAAAAUAAGAGCUUCAAGAGGAAGUCUUCUUUCUCUCUUUCCCUCCAACCCUUCUCGAUUUCCAGCCCCAAGAACUCCAAGGAAAUGACAGCCUGGUACCUGCAAAUUUACACCAAAAAGGGGUUAGUUUGGAACUCACAAAUAAAGGAAGGAGAGAGGCAAGCUCCAUUUGAAGAUGAGGAAUAGUAGGGCUAUAUAGGUCAGCCACUAAGCUGCCAUAGGGAUGAUUUGGGGCUGCCAAAGAAUCUCACCAAAUGGAAAUAGAACCAUUUUUGAACAAGUCUCAUGACCUCAGCAACAAGCACAAAUAAGGGAAAUGUUUGACCCUCCACAAGAGCCGAGGAAGAUAGGGAAUUGCCAAGGAAAAAGCAGUCCCCAAACUUACACAAUUAUGGAACAAACCACCUUAUCACAAAACUCAAAGGCAAGCUGAGUUUUAGCCGGAAAUGGCACAUCAGCCCCAAGGAUUUCAUCAAUUGGGUAGGAUUCCCUUAAACAUGUAACUCAAAAGGGGGCUGAGGAUUGUAACCAAAUUUGGAUCAAUGCCCCAAAUCUUUGCCACAAGAAGCCAAAGGAGUGGCUUAUAAAUACCGCCCAUCCCUCCCCACUCCACACACCCUUUCUCUGCCAAAUUCUCGCAAGGCAAGGGAGUGCAGCGGAGCAAGGAGCGGCGCGGAGCAGCGACAGUGAGAAGGGCAGGCCGAAGGGGUUCACCGAGCAAGGUAACUCGAUAACCCACCCUUUUGCAUCAUAAUAGGCGGCAAGUGCAUAGCUCAAAGAACAUAGAUUACCAUAAGAUAGAUCAUGGGCAAGACAAGAAUGUAGUAAGCUAAGCCUUAGCAUGCGUGCUACUGUAUCGAUCAAACACCAAAGAAAUUCUGAUAACUCAUAGCAACUCAAUAGGAUGCACCACAGUAACAAAAGCACCCCAAAUCAAUAAACAUGAGGAUAGAUAGCAAACUUCUCCCGAGCUUUCUUAAACGACCCCGCAAGAAUCCGUUAAUUAUUGAAUGAAGAAUGCAUGGCCGCUGCUUAAUUAACGGUAUUAAAAGGGGAAAGGGGGAGAGGACUUAUCUUGGGCCGGCGAGGCAAGCCGAGAGCGGUGGACGGCGACGGCGACGCAGCAGGCGGCAGCCCUGCCGUUGGGUGGCCGAGAGGUCCCCGAUACCGACGAAGGGAGAGGAGGCGCGGUGGAGAGGGAAGCAUGCACCGACGGACUCCGGAGCCCGUCGAGACAGCAGCAGUUUCGCCGAGUGGACGAAGGAGAGUCGACGCCACUGUGCUCGAUUGAAUUGGGAGAAAUCCCUAAGACUUAAUUUGAGAAAUAGAAUUUGGGGGAUUUAGGGAGAAGAGGCAGAGGCCGACUCUGGAGCGGCGACACAGAGGAGGCGCGAUUCUCGCCGGAGAUGCGAGAAGGAGAAAGGAGACGGAGAUGGUGGAAGUGAUUCCAUUUGUUGGGGCGUGAAGAAGAAGACGCUGUCUUCUUUCUUUUUUUUUUUCUCAAGUUGGAGAUUUGGGGAAAUGGGGAGUUCACGUGGGAGAGAAAGAAAGGGAUAGGAAAAAGAGAGGUGAGGAGUGCGCCAUUUCAUUAAUAAAAUUAAUUGGGCCCAGAAUUCAAUAAAAGAAAGAGGAGAAGGAGAAUGGGCUAUUUUUCAGUUGGGCCACUCUAAUUUAUUUAACUUUGGCCACUUUAAUAAACUGUGUUGGGCCAGAAAUUAAAUUAGUGGACUUGGGAAAUUAAUAUGGUUGGAGUGGAAUUAAAUUAAGGAAUUGAGCUUGGAGCUUAACUAAUUAAUUCCCGAAUACAUUACUAAGUUCCCGAAGACGGAAAAUAUUAAAGCGGAGACGCGAAAGCCGACCGGCGUCGCCCCGCGACGCCAUGGGCGGCCUUAAGAAAAAUCCGAAAAAGAAGGAAUUUAAGAAGGGAUUUUAAGAAUCCAUAUUUAAUUAAGAGAAAAUAGAAAUUCUCCAAAUUAGUGAGCGGAAUAAUUUAAGUGUUGUCGUACAACAAAGCCCAGUUAAGAUUUAAGAAGAAUCCUUUAAGCCGAGACUAAGGGAUAGGAUGCAUGCAUUCUUUUCUCAGAAAAAUAGUUUGAAUAUUAAUUAGCGUUUUACGCUAUUUAUUUCUAAAGGAAUUUGUUCAAGGGGCAAGAGAGGCCGAACGAGGAAUUGUUAAUUGGAGAUAAGCAUAACAGGUUGAACGUCAAGUUGAAGGAGGAAUUGAUCGGAGUCGAUGCUAUUAAAUAAGCUUGUGGAUUUCUCGGCGAUUCGUGUCUUCAUACACGAAGUCGCUUAGUAGGGACCUCUUUCCGCUGCAUUUAUUUCGUUAAGUGAGAAGCUUAUUGUCUCACCUUCGAACUCUGAUCUGGUUGUUAUGAUGAAUGAUUCUAUGUUGAGAUCCUGUAAUCAAAUACUUGGCUUCUAAUUUGUGGUAUCAAUUGAUUGGCCUUUCGGCAAGUCCCUUGAGUUA